rnacentral:rRNA from 1 species
GUAGGGAAUAUUGGGCAAUGGAGGCAACUCUGACCCAGCCAUGCCGCGUGCAGGAUGAUGGCCCUCUGGGUUGUAAACUGCUUUUAUACGGGAAGAAAAAAUACUACGUGUAGUAUACUGACGGUACCGUAAGAAUAAGGAUCGGCUAACUCCGUGCCAGCAGCCGCGGUAAUACGGAGGAUCCAAGCGUUGUCCGGAUUUAUUGGGUUUAAAGGGUGCGUAGGCGGAUCUUUAAGUCAGUGGUGAAAGCCUGCAGCUUAACUGUAGAAUUGCCAUUGAAACUGAAGAUCUUGAAUGUGGUUAAAGUAGGCGGAAUGUAUCAUGUAGCGGUGAAAUGCUUAGAUAUGAUACAGAACACCGAUAGCGAAGGCAGCUUGCUGAACCAUUAUUGACGCUGAGGCACGAAAGCGUGGGGAGCGAACAGGAUUAGAUACCCUGGUAGUCC